rnacentral:rRNA from 1 species
AGACAGGUGCUGCAUGGCUGUCGUCAGCUCGUGUUGUGAAAUGUUGGGUUAAGUCCCGCAACGAGCGCAACCCUUAUCCUUUGUUGCCAGCGGUCCGGCCGGGAACUCAAAGGAGACUGCCAGUGAUAAACUGGAGGAAGGUGGGGAUGACGUCAAGUCAUCAUGGCCCUUACGAGUAGGGCUACACACGUGCUACAAUGGCGCAUACAAAGAGAAGCGAACUCGCGAGAGCAAGCGGACCUCAUAAAGUGCGUCGUAGUCCGGAUUGGAGUCUGCAACUCGACUCCAUGAAGUCGGAAUCGCUAGUAAUCGUAGAUCAGAAUGCUACGGUGAAUACGUUCCCGGGCCUUGUACACACCGCCCGUCACACCAUGGGAGUGGGUUGCAAAAGAAGUAGGUAGCUUAACCUUCGGGAGGGCGCUUACCACUUUGUGAUUCAUGACUGGGGUGAAGUCGUAACAAGGUAACCGUAGGGGAACCUGCGGUUGGAUCACCUCCUUA